GAUGAACGCUGGCGGCGUGCCUAAUACAUGCAAGUCGAGCGGUAAGGCCCUUCGGGGUACACGAGCGGCGGACGGCUGAGUAACACGUAGGAACGUACCCCAAACUGAGGGAUAAGCACCAGAAAUGGUGUCUAAUACCGCAUGUGGCCCACGGGCUAAAGCUCCGGCGGUUUGGGAACGGCCUGCGUCCGAUUAGCUAGUUGGCGAGGUAAAAGCUCACCAAGGCGACGAUCGGUAGCUGGUCUGAGAGGAUGAUCAGCCAGACUGGGACUGAGACACGGCCCAGACUCCUACGGGAGGCAGCAGUAGGGAAUUUUCCACAAUGGGGGCAACCCUGAUGGAGCAACGCCGCGUGCAGGAUGAAGGCCUUCGGGUUGCAAACUGCUUUUAUCUGUGACGAUUAUGACGGUAGCAGAUGAAUAAGGACCUGCUAACUACGUGCCAGCAGCCGCAGUAA
rnacentral:rRNA from 1 species